GGGGGGCAGGGGGGCAGGGGAGGGGUAGACAGCUUCCUCUUUGGGGUGAUGUUUGUACAACUCUGUGAAUAUGGUUGGAGCCUUGCUGAGACACAGGCAUUGGUGAAGAGAGUGAACUCUGGUUAUCUAAUCUCAUGAAACACGCCCUCACUGCCUUCCAUGACAGGAGCUGCUGCUUCACCACCGCAAGCAAGCACUGAGGGCCAUGGAUAGACUUGUCAGGGCUCAGCCUCUGAGAGUUCUAUCUGCUGUAACC